GGGCGGCCAUGUUCAACCUCAUACCCGAGGACUGGGGCGGGUACGCCACCCCCUGGGUCCGCGAGAUCGCUGAAACCUUCAACUGCCUCAAGGCCCUCCACUUCCGCCGGAUGAUCGUGACGGACGCCGACAUCUCCCUGCUGGUCAAGGCGAGGGGCCACAUGCUCCAGACGCUCAAGCUGGAUAAGUGCUCGGGGUUUUCCACCGAUGGCCUUUUGCUGCUUGCCCGUUCUUGCAGGUACUCCUCCUCCUUCCAGUUGAUCAGAUUUUUAGUCCAGUCAUUUCUGCCUUUUAUUUUCUUUAAUUUAUUUUUUAAAGAGUGACCACUGAUCUCCUUGUGCUUCAUUCUUGAUUUUCAUAAUAUUUAUUUUUUGAGUUAAUUUUCUUUAUAUUUAGUGUUGUUGAGAAUAGUAUGAUGAAGGAUAGAUACUCCUGUUUAAUCCUGUUUUCUCACCCUCUGAGAGGCUGGAUUGGAGUGUUAGACCCGUAGAUGGGGCUUUCAAGAUCUUAACAGGAUGUUUUCUGUUCUGUUCUCGAGCUUGCUACAUAUAUAGAGCUUAAUAUAAAGCUGAAGUGAUAUGGUUUAUGAGUUCUUGGGUCAACUAUGCUGUUGUUCUCUGAUGCAUGUCUGCAUUCUGAUUUUUUGAUAUCCAUUCCAAUAUGUUCUUUGAUGUGCUCUUAGCAUUUUUUCCCUCCCAUUAUUGUUAAUGGAAUCCGCAACAUUCUGCUUUUGUUUAAUAUAAAUAUGAUUUCUAAAGGAGAGAGUUGGCAUCCUGAGGAUAAUUGGAUAUUCUCUCUUAUAUUGCCUUUUGGGGUCUGAGUUUGUAGUUUCGUUUGUUGUAAAGAUGGAUGGAUUGGGUAACAUGGUCUGGACUGAUCUUAGAUCCAAUGGGCUAGUAGUGAUGAAUUUUAACCAAUUGACACUCUUUCGGGCUAGACACUUGAAGGGGCUAGAAUGAGCUGUAAAAUUUGAAAAACGGUGGUUGUCUAUGAUGCUGGUUGUCUUUGUAGAGCUGAUUUCUCGAUGCUUAUUUCUUGAAUUCUAACAUGCCGUUUGAGAUAGAACUUGGUGAUGGGAGAUCAAUAAAUAUGGCUACCCAUGUCAGAAUGUGUUUUGUGAGUUAAACUUCUAAUGUUCCAUGGCUGGAUAAGUUGGCUUCUUGAUCCAAGUUGUGCCAAUUGUUAGUGCUAGUGGUUCUGAAUUCUGAACAUACCAACACUCUUAGGGCCUUUUGGGUAUUGUUCUUGCUUUUGUGUUUGUGUUUCUCCACAAAUUAGUGAAAUGCCAAUGGAGAUUGAUGUUGAAGAUAGAAUAUGCACAAAAAUUUUACUAUUCCUUCCUUUUAUUUUGUCUCUUUUUUGAGAAUAAUAAAUAUGUGCUACCUAAAACUCUAAAGGUCUUACAAACAAACUCAGAAAAACAAAAGGGUUUUAUCACACAUGCUGUUCAGUCUAGUUCAUUUUUCUUCUUGGAUUUCCAAAAACAACAAACAGACAACAAAAGCAAUACCAAACGAGCCCCUGGAAUUUCAGGUCUGCCAACCUAUCCCAUUUUUUUUCUUAAUGGUCGAGUCUUUGAGAGAUUGACUUCUCCUUAGGUGGUCUUGCUUUUGAUCUUUUCGAUGUAAUUUUGGAAAACCAAUUCUUUAUAUGUUUCCUAGACUAUUGCUCAUCACAUGGACAUCUUUCUUGAUAUUUGUAGUUUGCAAAGGAUCUUUUUUAGUUGCUCCAGGAGGAAUGUUAACAGCUAUAAGCAAUUAAAAUCCUUUCAGGAGUUUCAGCUUUUUAAUCCAUUAAGAUUAUUUCACAUAGCACUAUCUCUUAUGGUAAAGCAAGGUAUUUUGCAUGUCAAAGAUGGUCGCUGACAUGAUGAACAAGGUUGCUGACACGUCAUGUCAUUAUUAAUGGUGUAUCUUGACAUAAAUUCGGAUGCCUGUUCAUCCUUAGGUUGUAAACACAUGAUUAUUGCUGCCCCCUGUCAACCUGAGUUUGUCUUAGUAAGAAGAGAAAAAGAAGGAGAUGAGAAAAACUCGAGAGAAACUGUAAGAUUGGAGCUUGAAGACAGAUAGUAAAAACUGCUCUCUAGGUGUUUGCUUUUAAUCCAUUGCAAGUUUUAAGUGAGACAUAUGUUCCAAAAGUCCUUACAAUAAAAUCUUGAUAUUUUUUAUGCUUCUAUUGACUUUCUGCUAGGAUUGGCAGCCAAUCAUGAAAGGUAAGCCCAUGUGUAGCUGCAUGCUUGUGAGAAAGGGAAUUAUUGUUUGACAAUUACUUCUAAGGCAUAAGUUUUGGUGUUUUAAAAGAGUAUCAUUAACUGGUUAGUUAGCUACAUUAUCUAUACCCGUGAUGGCUGGAAAUUAAUGAGAGUGAAAUGAGGUCAUCAAAAAAGUUGGAUAUGGCCAAAAAUAGAGUCAUUGACUUCUUUUUUGCUUUGAUAGCCAUGUGCCUGACCUUUCCUCUGAGAUUGAAAUUAGGAAACAAGGUGAGUAAAAUAAUUUUUAAACUGCACAAAUGGUAUCCAGUUCUGUAGGGGCAUGGGUCAUCCAAAUUCCACAAUGUCAUACUAACAACCAUGUAAUGAUUACAUCCAUGAUUCUCACAUGUAUAAUGUAACUGACACUCUGGGCUGCAAAUGUUGAUGAAGCGAGUGUCAUGUACAGAUAAGUAAAUUUUAGGGUGCUAUAUGCAAAAGCACUUCCUUCAGAAUGCUUAAAAUUCAAUGGGUUCAUGAAAAAAGUGUGGAUGCUCAUCCCAAGGUCUCUCCUUCCUUCAGAAUUAAAAAGAGUGGGGAAGGCCAGUUCUUUUUUCUUUAUAUUUGUUCUAGAUGUAAUCAGAUGACAACUUUUGUGACACUUGAAUUCUGCUUUAUCUACAAGUAGUAACUAGCAGGUGCCAUCGUUAGUUGCUCUGGACUUCAUGCAAGUAAUAUUAGAGUAAGAGCCUUCUAUAUUUGCUAUUUGGUUAUUAAUGGGUCUGACCCACUUCAAAUGGUCAGUUGAGAUUCAUUUAUCCAAAAUAAACUAGGUGUGAGGACCGCUUCUUUUUAAUGGUCAUAGCCUAUUUAUAAUAGAAAACAUGACAGAGAAUAAAUUCAUCCACUUGAAGCAUAUAACAUUCUGCAGCAACUUGGUCUCAUAUAAAUUAAUUUGAAGUUCCAGAGUCUUUGGGAAAUUGAGUCCUGUACAGAAUGGAUGAAAGGUUGCAACCUUCAAAUGUAGUCUAAAGACUUCCACUACUUUUUUUCUUUUUUUUAUUUUUAAAUGUUCUUUUAGGAUAUCUAUUGAGAUCUGACAACUCGCUUUGUCAUGCAAGUUAUCAGCCAUCUAAUCUGAUAGUCCUUUUGUGCUAAUUUUUAGAAUUCCAGUAUUUGUUUAAUUGUCUUCCCUUGACUUCCCAUUUAUUCUCAAGAAGUUGAUUCUACUGUGCUGGCAUCUCUAUCAAUCAUCUUUCAAGCACAUGCUGCAAUUCUAAUCUAUUGGGCCAUUCUUCUUGAUAUAAAUGAUCUCGUCGAUAUUAAAAAGAAUAAAUUCUCCUUUACCAUUCAUGUAUGAUGUACGGUCACAUCUGCUCAUUCUUAGUUCCACUUUACAUUAUUGCAAUCUUGAUAAAUAACCAAGUAAGGUGCAAAAUAGCAGAAAACUUUCAACCUAUCUAUUUGCAUUGGCCUUACAGAUCUUGCUUAUUAUCAGAACUUGUUUAAGGUGGUUCUAUGAGGUGGAUUAUAUCCUCAAAUCAAUGCCUCAAAAUGAUUCCCUCACAUUUCUCAAUUUGCCCCAUUCCCUCUUAUUCUGCUGUAUUCAUUUCUAGCUCCACACCUCUUAGACUGGCUAUGAUCUUACCACAAAAUCCGUCUCCACAGCACUCAUCAUAGUUUUAUGUUCCCUUGUCAUAACCUUACAGUUCCAACAAUCUAGAAGUGCCAGUUCAAUAAUUUAAAGUCUUAGAAACAUAUAAAACUUUUUUCCCUUUUCCCAUGAGAAACAUGGUGGCCUGUCCAGGUUCGAACCAAGGGCUUCCAUCCAGCAGCAGAUGGGUUGCUUACAAAAUAAUCUUUUAGCACAUCUAUUUGAGGUCUAUCUUAUGAUCAUACUUUUCUUUUUCUUAGCCAAGGCUAAGUCUCUGAAUUGGGAGGUUUUUUUCAACUUCUCACUUCUCACUACUUCCAUCAAUUUUUAACUGUGCAAGAUAACAAGUAUCAUCUCUAUUUUAUUGGACCAAUGUCUUUUUUACCUGGAAUUUCAUGCUCGCUUUGUUGAUGAUCACUUGGUGUUUCAUGUAGAAUUUCCUUAACAAAUAUUAUUUCUGUUUAACUGGUUGUGCCUGUAUCUUCAUUGUUGUUUAUGCUUCUUGAUGCAACUAACAGAACUUCUGUAUAAGCUAAAAUCAAGAUGCAACUGGUGACAAACCAACAAACAUCCCUGAUUAUGAUGUUUUCAUUCUCUUUUUAUUUUCACUGUCGUCAAACCAUGGAUUUCCCAAAGAACACGUUUGGGCAUGUUGCCUUUGUCGAUAUGCUGGUGAUUUAAUCAUUCAUGAUCUUUUUAGUAUUUUUAUGCUUAUUUGUAUGGGUUACUUUGUGCUUUCGUGUCCCUAAAAGAUGGUUUUGUGUAACAUGAUAGUUAGAUGCUGGUUCCUCUAUGACCGGUUUCAGUUUCCAAAUGUCCUAUCUACAGAUGCCUUAAAACCUUAUUUUUGGAAGAAAGCUCAGUCGGUGAGAAUGAUGGUGCAUGGCUCCAAGAGCUUGCUAUCAACAAUUCUGUGCUCGAGACUUUGAAUUUCUAUAUGACAGAGCUCAGGAUCUCGUCACAAGACCUCGAGCUACUUGCUAGGAACUGCAGGUCUUUGAUUUCCUUGAAGAUCAGUGAG
rnacentral:lncRNA from 1 species